rnacentral:sRNA from 1 species
GGAAGAGGAGGUUCGACUAAAACCGUCACAUCGUGUGACAACGUUGAUCGAACAUACAUGGUGUAGG